ensembl:lncRNA
UUUCUGGAUUUCCUUGUCAACACGGUUUCUUGCUGUUACAUCUUGCUGCUGUUUUUAAAAGAUAUUUUGUGAGGUGAUUGUGAAAAAGAGGAGGGCUGAAGUAUAGGGCUGCAAGGUAAUAAAAUGUUUUACUGAUUAAAUAAAAUAAGCAAUAAUAAAAUUAACAAUGCUGAAAAACAGUAACAGAAAACUUCCUCAGACAGAUUGAUGAGUGCUCAUGUUCAAUCAUGAAAAGAAAAAAAACAACAUACUGACUUACUGACAAUAUAUAAAUCACAUUGUGUAAUGUCUAUUUAAACUGUCAUGCCACAAUAAUGUUGUAUUUUUAAAUGAUUAAUUAAUAAAGUCAUUUUAAAUGUAUUUUCUUUCUUUCUCAGGAAACAUGGAUAUACAGUAUGUGAUUAAUUUGACUAAUCAGUAUCAGUAUAUCGUGAUUCAUUCGAUUAAAAUGUUUAAUCGAUUGACAGCCCUAUUUAAGACUAGAAGUGCAAAACCAACCAAAGAAACACCUAAAUACAGAAUUUCACUUUAAAUACAAGACCAGAAAUAAUUCAAAAUAUAAUAAACGAAACGAAUAACCCAUCGAAUGGAAAACAAAGGCCACAAAGCACUGUUUUGCCAGCACAAAUGUUCCACGUCAUGUUAUGGUUGAUUCUCUCUAUUUUGUACAAAUGGAAUUGGCAAUAAAAAGGACAGACAGUGUAUAACCGCUGAAGGUCCAAUGGCAAAGUAUUGAGGAGGGAUACAAACAGAGAAAAUCUUCCGACAGAGCCUCACCGGUGAGAGAAAGUUCUCCUGAAUGGCUGAAUGAAGAUCUUGUGCUUAGAGUAUAGACAUUCAGUUUUACCUCUGUGUUCGUUUAUAGUUUCUGAUGAUCAGUCCAUUAGAGUUUAUCUCUUCCAUUGCAAUCUACCACCUCACAUCCCAUUCUGUGCUUGAAUCAGUGCGUCCAGUCUGGUAGAGAAGCACAAGGCCAGAUGUGGCACCUUGAAAUUCAGGAUUUGAGAUUCAAUAGGCUUGAAUAUCAUCAUUUGUUACUGACAUCAUUUGUUGCCUGUCUAUGUAUCCAAAAGUGGGUUCAUUUUAUUACAGCAUAAAGCAACGACUGAAGCAAACAAGCCUUCGCCACCGAGCUUUGUUCCUCUCAAAUGGACUGUUAGAGUCAGGCUAUUAAAUCACCCUAUUAAUCUCACAGCAUGAGCAAUUUAUGUUGUUGUCCGUGUGUCAGCUAUUAGGCAGAUUUCCAUAAAAUACUUUUCAUGGAAUUGGUGUUUACACAACAAUAUUUCAACUGUUAUUACAAUGACAAUAUUACAAACAUAAGUUUCAGGGCUUCUAAGUCGACGGUCUCCUGCGUGCUCAUGCUGCCCUUGAAUUUGUUGAUACUAUCGCAUCUGUGUACACCAACCUCAUUAACGGUUGAGUGUGGGAAUGAUGUACUAUACAUAUCAUCAGCUACUUCAACAGAAAAAUGUCAUGUAAACCAAAAAAGGAAGACAGAGUGGAAGUGGCAAAACCUUAACACAAAACGUGGAGCUGCAUAGCCUAUACCUCCUUUUCUCUUUCUGACGUCUUUAACUUUCAGACUCUAUCGAGCAGCAUGGACGGGAAAGCGGUGAUUGAUCCGAAGUGUUUGUAAGUGAAGGGUGAGACUGUAAGCUACAGCAGUAACAAUGACAGGACUGGUAAUCAGCCUCUCCGAACCUAUGGAAGAACUCACCUUCCCUAGAGAGGCUUGCCAAUCAAACUGGUUGGAAAGGAAGACAUUUGUAGACUGUGCAGUGAAGCUAACACACUGAUGUAGCACACUUCCUAGCUUUCAUGGGACGACAUCAAACAAAUAUUUAAUUUCUUUCAUAAUUGUUUCUUGAAGGUGAAGUGUAUAACUUUUUCAAUGGUAAAAGGAUAGUUAAUCCAAAAAUUUUAAUUCUGUCAUUAUUUGCUCACUCACAUUUCAU